GACAGAGGUGCCGAGCGUUAGGCGGAAUCACUGGGCGUAAAGCGCGCGUAGGCGGCUACUUAAGUCGGAUGUGAAAUCUCCAGGCUCAACCUGGAGGGGUCAUUCGAUACUGCCGUGACUAGAGGUCGGUAGGGGAGUGUGGAAUUCCUGGUGGAGCGGUGAAAUGCGCAGAUAUCAGGAGGAACACCCGUAGCGAAGGCGGCACUCUGGGCCGAUACUGACACUGAGGAGCGAAAGCGUGGGGAGCGAACAGG
rnacentral:rRNA from 1 species